rnacentral:rRNA from 1 species
GUCCUAGCCGUAAACGAUGGACACUAGGUGUCGGUUCCGUCAGGAAUCGGUGCCGUAGCCAACGCGUUAAGUGUCCCACCUGAGGAGUACGGCCGCAAGGUUGAAACUCAAAGGAAUUGACGGGGGCCAGCACAAGCGGUGGAACAUGUGGUUCAAUUCGAUGCUACGCGAAGAACCUUACCCAGGCUUGACAUGCUUGAAGUAGGAACCUGAAAGGGCAACGACUCGUAACCAGUCGAGAACUUGCACAGGUGCUGCAUGGCUGUCGU